rnacentral:rRNA from 1 species
ACUGUCAGAGGUGAAAUUCUUAGACAGUGACACAGGGAGGUAGUGACAAGAAAUAACAAUACGGGGCUUAAAGUCUUGUAAUUGGAAUGAUGGGAAUUUAAACCUCUUCCAGAGUAUCAAUUGGAGGGCAAGUCUGGUGCCAGCAGCCGCGGUAAUUCCAGCUCCAAUAGCGUAUAUUAAAAUUGUUGCAGUUAAAAAGCUCGUAGUUGAAUUUCUGCUGCAUUGCUUGUGUCCCUCUGGGGUCUGUGCAUGUGGCUUUUUUCGGACGGAGUUUCUUUGUCUGAAUGUUUACUUUGAGAAAAUUAGAGUGCUCAAAGCAGGCUUUCGCCUUGAAUAGUUUAGCAUGGAAUAAUAAAGUAGGACUUUGGUUCUAUUUUGUUGGUUUUAGGUACCAAAGUAAUGGUUAAUAGGAACAGUUGGGGGCAUUCGUAUUUAACUGUCAGAGGUGAAAUUCUUAGAC